UACUGAAGUGUGUUACGAACAUUCGCUCAUUACUAGCCUCGUGUGGAAAUUUCUGUUACCAACACCCGCUUCCGUAUGCAGUUCUGAAGCACUACUGCUGUUAUUGCUGCUGAACAUAUGCUAUUAACACUCGCUCAAUAUUGGUUAUCGGGUGCAUUUCUCCAGGUAUUCCUACUGCUCUUCUCGAAGUAGGCUGCGAACACCUAAUCUUCGUUGGUUUACGUGUGCAUUACUUCGGGUGCCUAGACUAUUGUCACCGAAGUCGACCACAAACAGCCGCUUGUCACUAGCUUGCCUGUGC